rnacentral:rRNA from 1 species
UAGGGAAUCUUCGGCAAUGGGGGCAACCCUGACCGAGCAACGCCGCGUGAGUGAAGAAGGUUUUCGGAUCGUAAAGCUCUGUUGUAAGAGAAGAACGUGUGUGAGAGUGGAAAGUUCACACAGUGACGGUAACUUACCAGAAAGGGACGGCUAACUACGUGCCAGCAGCCGCGGUAAUACGUAGGUCCCGAGCGUUGUCCGGAUUUAUUGGGCGUAAAGCGAGCGCAGGCGGUUUAAUAAGUCUGAAGUUAAAGGCAGUGGCUUAACCAUUGUUCGCUUUAGAAACUGUUAAACUUGAGUGCAGAAGGGGAGAGUGGAAUUCCAUGUGUAGCGGUGAAAUGCGUAGAUAUAUGGAGGGACACCGGUGGCGAAAGCGGCUCUCUGGUCUGUAACUGACGCUGAGGCUCGAAAGCGUGGGGAGCAAACAGG